AUUGAACGCUGGCGGCAGGCCUAACACAUGCAAGUCGAGCGAGCGGCGGACGGGUGAGUAAUGUCUGGGAAACUGCCUGAUGGAGGGGGAUAACUACUGGAAACGGUAGCUAAUACAGCAUACCAUCAGAUGUGCCCAGAUGGGAUUAGCUAGUAGGUGGGGUAAUGGCUCACCUAGGCGACGAUCCCUAGCUGGUCUGAGAGGAUGACCGGCCAAACUGGAACUGAACCACGGCCCAGCAUCCUACGGGAGGCAGCAGUGGGGAAUAUUGCACAAUGGGCGCAAGCCUGAUGCGGCCAUGCCGCGUGUGUGAAGAAGGCCUUCGGGUUGUAAAGCACUUUCAGCGAGGAGGCGUUACCGACAGAAGAAGCACCGGCUAACUCCGUGCCAGCAGCCGCGGUAAUUC
rnacentral:rRNA from 1 species